GCCAGGUGUGGUGGUGCACAUCUGGAAUCCCAGUUACUUGGGAGGCUGAGAGAGGAGGAUCACUUGAGCCUAGGAGUUCAAGGCUUCAGUGAGCCAUGAUCACGUCACUGCACUCCAGCCUGGGCAACAGAGUGAGACCCUGUCUCUA
rnacentral:SRP_RNA from 1 species